rnacentral:rRNA from 1 species
CCUACGGGUGGCAGCAGUGGGGAAUAUUGCACAAUGGGGGAAACCCUGAUGCAGCGACGCCGCGUGAGUGAAGAAGUAUUUCGGUAUGUAAAGCUCUAUCAGCAGGGAAGAAAAAAGACGGUACCUGACUAAGAAGCCCCGGCUAACUACGUGCCAGCAGCCGCGGUAAUACGUAGGGGGCAAGCGUUAUCCGGAUUUACUGGGUGUAAAGGGAGCGUAGACGGUGCGUCAAGUCUGAAGUGAAAGCCCGGGGCUUAACCCCGGGACUGCUUUGGAAACUGGCGCGCUAGAGUGCUGGAGAGGUAAGUGGAAUUCCUAGUGUAGCGGUGAAAUGCGUAGAUAUUAGGAGGAACACCAGUGGCGAAGGCGGCUUACUGGACAGUAACUGACGUUGAGGCUCGAAAGCGUGGGGAGCAAACAGGAUUAGAUACCCGAGUAGUC